CUUGAUCGAGCCCAGCCACAACGGCCGAUCAGCCGGACGAUCCUGCCCGUAGGUUGCCAAGAUCGCCUGGGCUUC
rnacentral:antisense_RNA from 1 species